AAUACAUCGGAACGUGCCCAAUCGUGGGGGAUAACGCAGCGAAAGCUGUGCUAAUACCGCAUAAGAUCUACGGAUGAAAGCAGGGGAUCGCAAGACCUUGCGCGAAUGGAGCGGCCGAUGGCAGAUUAGGUAGUUGGUGAGGUAAAGGCUCACCAAGCCUUCGAUCUGUAGCUGGUCUGAGAGGACGACCAGCCACACUGGGACUGAGACACGGCCCAGACUCCUACGGGAGGCAGCAGUGGGGAAUUUUGGACAAUGGGCGAAAGCCUGAUCCAGCCAUGCCGCGUGCAGGAUGAAGGCCUUGGGUUUGUAAACUGCUUUUGUACGGAACGAAACGGCCUUUUCUAAUAAAGAGGGCUAAUGACGGUACCGUAAGAAUAAGCACCGGCUAACUACGUGCCAGCAGCCGCGGUAAUACGUAGGGUGCAAGCGUUAAUCGGAAUUACUGGGCGUAAAGCGUGCGCAGGCGGUUAUGUAAGACAGUUGUGAAAUCCCCGGGCUCAACCUGGGAACUGCAUCUGUGACUGCAUAGCUAGAGUACGGUAGAGGGGGAUGGAAUUCCGCGUGUAGCAGUAAAUGCGUAGAUAUGCGGAGGAACACCGAUGGCGAAGGCAAUCCCCGGACCUGACUACGCUCAUCACGAAAGCGGGGGACAAACAGGAUUGAUCCCUGUGCCCGCCUACGAUCA
rnacentral:rRNA from 1 species